GAGACACUUCAUGGGCAGUACGGA
rnacentral:siRNA from 1 species